rnacentral:rRNA from 1 species
UACAGAGGUCUCAAGCGUUGUUCGGAUUCAUUGGGCGUAAAGAGCUCGUAGGCGGUCUGUUACGUCCGCUGUGAAAACCCAGGGCUUAACCCUGGGCUUGCAGUGGAUACGGGCAGACUGGAGUGCGGUAGGGGAGAAUGGAAUUCCUGGUGUAGCGGUGAAAUGCGCAGAUAUCGGGAGGAACACCGGUGGCGAAGGCGGUUCUCUGGGCCUUACCUGACGCUGAGGAGCGAAAGCGUGGGGAGCGAACAGG